rnacentral:rRNA from 1 species
AUUGAACGCUGGCGGCAUGCUUUACACAUGCAAGUCGAACGGUAACAGGGUGCUUGCACCGCUGACGAGUGGCGAACGGGUGAGUAAUGCGUCGGAACGUGCCGAGUAGUGGGGAUAACGCAGCGAAAGUUGUGCUAAUACCGCAUACGUACUGAGGUAGAAAGUGGGGGACCUUCGGGCCUCACGCUAUUCGAGCGGCCGACGUCUGAUUAGCUAGUAGGUGAGGUAAAGGCUCACCUAGGCGACGAUCAGUAGCGGGUCUGAGAGGAUGAUCCGCCACACUGGGACUGAGACACGGCCCAGACUCCUACGGGAGGCAGCAGUGGGGAAUUUUGGACAAUGGGCGAAAGCCUGGUCCAGCCAUGCCGCGUGUCUGAAGAAGGCCUUCGGGUUGUAAAGGACUUUUGUCAGGGAGGAAAUCCCUAGCGUUAAUACCGCUGGGGGAUGACAGUACCUGAAGAAUAAGCACCGGCUAACUACGUGCCAGCCGCCGCGGUAAUAC